GGCUCAGAACGAACGCUGGCGGCGUGCCUAAGACAUGCAAGUCGUGCGGAAAGGCUCCUUCGGGAGCACUCGAGCGGCGCACGGGUGAGUAACGCGUGGGUAAUCUGCCUUCAGGUCUGGGACAACUUCGGGAAACUGGAGCUAAUACCGGAUGAGACCACGGGGCCCUCGGGUCCUGCGGAAAAAGGUGGCCUCUGCUUGCAAGCUACCGCCUGUCGAUGAGCCUGCGUCCCAUUAGCUAGUUGGUAGGGUAACGGCCUACCAAGGCGACGAUGGGUAGCUGGUCUGAGAGGAUGAUCAGCCACACUGGAACUGAGACACGGUCCAGACUCCUACGGGAGGCAGCAGUCGGGAAUUUUGGGCAAUGGGCGAAAGCCUGACCCAGCAACGCCGCGUGAGGGAUGAAGGCCCUCGGGUCGUAAACCUCUGUCGGGAGGGAAGAACGAUCGGCAGUCGAACAGGCUGACGGUCUGACGGUACCUCCAAAGGAAGCACCGGCUAACUCCGUGCCAGCAGCCGCGGUAA
rnacentral:rRNA from 1 species